GACGAACGCUGGCGGCGUGCCUAAUACAUGCAAGUCGAACGAUUAAAGCACCUUCGGGUGUGUAUAAAGUGGCGAACGGCUGAGUAACACGUGGGCAACCUGCCCCUCUCAUUGGGAUAGCCACGGGAAACCGUGGAUAAUACCGAAUACUUCGGGACUUCCGCAUGGAAGACCCGAGAAAGCUCCGGCGGAGAGGGAUGGGCCCGCGGCCUGUUAGCUUGUUGGUGGGGUAACGGCCUACCAAGGCAAUGAUGGGUAGCUGGGUUGAGAGACCGACCAGCCAGAUUGGGACUGAGACACGGCCCAGACUCCUACGGGAGGCAGCAGUGGGGAAUCUUGCACAAUGGGCGAAAGCCUGAUGCAGCGACGCCGCGUGCGGGAUGAAGGCCUUCGGGUUGUAAACCGCUUUCAGCAGGGACGAGGCGAAAGUGACGGUACCUGCAGAAGA
rnacentral:rRNA from 2 species